rnacentral:rRNA from 1 species
GAUGAACGCUGGCGGCGUGCCUAAUACAUGCAAGUCGAGCGAACGGACGAGAAGCUUGCUUCUCUGAUGUUAGCGGCGGACGGGUGAGUAACACGUGGAUAACCUACCUAUAAGACUGGGAUAACUUCGGGAAACCGGCGCUAAUACCGGAUAAUAUUUUGAACCGCAUGGUUCAAAAGUGAAAGACGGUCUUGCUGUCACUUAUAGAUGGAUCCGCGCUGCAUUAGCUAGUUGGUAAGGUAACGGCUUACCAAGGCAACGAUGCAUAGCCGACCUGAGAGGGUGAUCGGCCACACUGGAACUGAGACACGGUCCAGACUCCUACGGGAGGCAGCAGUAGGGAAUCUUCCGCAAUGGGCGAAAGCCUGACGGAGCAACGCCGCGUGAGUGGUGAAGGUCUUCGGAUCGUAAAACUCUGUUAUUAGGGAAGAACAUAUGUGUAAGUAACUGUGCACAUCUUGACGGUACCUAAUCAGAAAGCCACGGCUAACUACGUG